GCAGAUGUACUUAGCGAGCUAUAGGUAUUUUAUUUUAACUGAUUCGUAAUCAGUAGGUCGUGGGUUCGACUCCCAUCAUUGGCUCCA
rnacentral:tRNA from 1 species